GAAACACUGUCUACUGUGAGGUGUUUUCCAACCCCGAAACUCUAUCAAAACAUCUCCCCAUCAGAAAGAACACACUGUGAACAUGAAUGGCUACUAAGUCCUCAUGUGUCCAAGUUCCUCUUGCAAGAUAAUGUCCAGCAUUAUUUAAUGCUAAUGUAUCGCAUCAAGAGAUAAAUACCCAGAAUAUAAUUCACUUAAACCCUCAUCUUCCUCCAUGUAAACCUAUCCAAGCUGAAGUCUGAGUACCUCAGGGGGUUCCUGAGAUGGAGGUCUGCAUUGUGGACAGUUUCUACAACAACAACUUCUGUUGCUUCAGCUCCUGCUACAGUCAUCCCACUGGUAAUGACAGCCUCAUCCCCAGGCUUCCAGUCCACAGCUUCCCCCAGAGUCAACACUUUGUCUCCUGCAUGUGCAGCUGCUUGAAGAUAGGUGACAGUAACCUCUGGAACUGAACCUAAAGCCACCAAGAGAAAACUUGUUCAGAUACUUUGAUUGUUAGUAAGGAUAUGAUUUUAUAAAAGGUGCUUGGAACACCA
rnacentral:lncRNA from 1 species